rnacentral:lncRNA from 1 species
GAUUUCAGAAGCUCAAGCCAAGUCCAGUGUCACUCUCUUCCUGCUGCCUGAGGAUCUGGCUGUAGAACUCUCAGCUAAUUCUCCAGCAGCACCAUGCCUGCGUGCUACUAUGAUAACAGAGGACUGAACCUGUGAACUGUAAUGACCUCUACCCAGUGUCAUAAUGUAUGAAUGGAGCCUAGCACUCCUGAGACCACUCCUAAGACAACCCCAGACACUCAGAGAUCCCAGGUGCCACUAAGAGGAGCAAGCAAGCAAGUGGAGAAAUGGAAGAGAAAGAGGAGCAAUAUGAUGUGUACACAAUGAAAAGAGGCAGAACUGGAAACUCUAGGGACGUGAGUAACCAGUGAUGCCACCUGGGACCACAGUGAGCUCCUGACCUGUACUGCCACUGGGGACCAUGUCUGAGUUUGUGGCCCUGCAGCAGCAGGGAUCUGUUACCACCAAAGGCCAGGUGGACAUCCAUGUUCUAGGCUGCCUCCUGGGGGCAUGUUGAUGUCGAGGGCUAUGCAGAACUGGCCCCACCUUUGCCUGGGAGAGCUGGCUCUGAAGACAUAAGAGUAGAAGAAUUGACUCUCUCCCUAAGCAGCUGCAGUACUCUCAAGAGAGCCCCGCACACUGCAGGGGUUUCAGCAGGUCAUGAGAGCAGGAGAGCGGCAGCACUCAGGAGAGCAGACCCUGCACUUCGCACCUUGUCUGGAGGGUGCAGUAGAGCUUACCAUGGUGUCAGGUGUAGGAUCUCCAUGACACAGGCCAACAGCAGAUUAUCUGAGAGGAGUCCCAGUGAGGAUCCAGUAUUGAGAGAGUAGAAGAAGCCAGAGGCCCCCUACCAGACAAAGGAGUCUUUGCAAUGAACAUCUGCAAAUGAAGAAGUGUGGACAAAAGCAAAAGGGUGUUACAGUGGACACGGUAACACACUACAGCUUCCACUUCCACUGUGAGUUGUUUUUUGGGUUUUUUUUUUCUUUGCUGGGAGGGAGGUUGCAAGGGUUGGGGGCAGAUACAAGGGGAGGGCAAGAUGAAGUGGAUUUGGGGUACAUGAUAG